rnacentral:misc_RNA from 1 species
GAUGAAGAACGUAGUGAAAUGCGAUAAGUAAUGUGAAUUGCAGAAUUCAGUGAAUCAUCGAAUCUUUGAACGCACAUUGCGCCCGCCAGUAUUCUGGCGGGCAUGCCUGUCUGAGCGUCAUUUCAACCCUCAUGCCCCUAGGGCGUGGUGUUGGGGAUCGGCCAAAGCCCGCGAGGGACGGCCGGCCCCUAAAUCUAGUGGCGGACCCGUCGUGGCCUCCUCUGCGAAGUAGUGAUAUUCCGCAUCGGAGAGCGACGAGCCCCUGCCGUUAAACCCCCAACUUUCCAAGGUUGACCUCAGAUCAUGUAGGAAUACCCGCUGAACUUAAGCAUAUCAAUAAGCGGAGGA